CCUACGGGAGGCAGCAGUGAGGAAUAUUGGUCAAUGGGCGCGAGCCUGAACCAGCCAAGUAGCGUGAAGGAUGACUGCCCUACGGGUUGUAAACUUCUUUUAUAAAGGAAUAAAGUGAGGCACGUGUGCCUGUUUGUAUGUACUUUAUGAAUAAGGAUCGGCUAACUCCGUGCCAGCAGCCGCGGUAAUACGGAGGAUCCGAGCGUUAUCCGGAUUUAUUGGGUUUAAAGGGUGCGUAGGUGGGUUGUUAAGUCAGUUGUGAAAGUGUGGGGAUCAACCGUAAAAUUGCAAUUGAUACUGGCAGUCUUGAGUACAGUUGAGGUAGGCGGAAUGCGUGGUGUAGCGGUGAAAUGCUUAGAUAUCACGAAGAACUCCGAUUGCGAAGGCAGCUUACCAAACUGCCACUGACAUUGAUGCUCGAAAGUGUGGGUAUCAAACAGGAUUAGAUACCCUGGUAGUC
rnacentral:rRNA from 1 species